GAUGAACGCUGGCGGCGUGCCUAAUACAUGCAAGUCGAGCGAACAGACGAGGAGCUUGCUCCUCUGACGUUAGCGGCGGACGGGUGAGUAACACGUGGAUAACCUACCUAUAAGACUGGGAUAACUUCGGGAAACCGGAGCUAAUACUGGAUAAUAUAUUGAACCGCAUGGUUCAAUAGUGAAAGACGGUUUUGCUGUCACUUAUAGAUGGAUCCGCGCCGCAUUAGCUAGUUGGUAAGGUAACGGCUUACCAAGGCAACGAUGCGUAGCCGACCUGAGAGGGUGAUCAGCCACACUGGAACUGAGACACGGUCCAGACUCCUACGGGAGGCAGCAGUAGGGAAUCUUCCACAAUGGGCGAAAGCCUGACGGAGCAACGCCGCGUGAGUGAUGAAGGUCUUCGGAUCGUAAAACUCUGUUAUUAGGGAAGAACAAAUGUGUAAGUAACUAUGCACGUCUUGACGGUACCUAAUCAGAAAGCCACGGCUAACUACGUG
rnacentral:rRNA from 1 species